AUAAAAUUGGAAGUAACUAACUCUAUAUCUAUUCAAGGACCAAUCAUUUAAUUGCCUGGAGGUUUUUAGUCAAUAGCACUUGCCUUCUGUUCUUUUUUUCUUUUUUUUUUGCUAAAGCGGGUGUUUCAUACGGUUCGAGUACGGAUACACCCAAUAAAAUUAGAAAACAACAAGUAUUGGAGUGCUCUGGGCAACUCCUCUUCCGGCUAUAAGGUACCCCUGAGUGAUAGACUAUAUAGGAAGCCACCCAGUCUGUGGCCUCAUUGGCUUCUUUGAACACAUGCCUAGCCUGAAAGGUCACAACGUCACUCACCAUAGCCGAAAUAUCCUAAAACAGGGGGUAUCCUCCUCCACCGCCACUUGGGCCACCCUAGAUCCAGCUGAUCACGGUGGCCGAGUCACCCUCCAAUAUAACUGAGCUGGCCUAUAGCACGCGCCGAGCAUGGCUCAGGACGACGCAAGUCGUCCGUAGCUCUGCUCUAGAAACUGAGAUAUCGAAAAUCUGGCAGCCACCAGUAGCCACUACCCUAGAGGUCGAGCCCCUAAUGACAAACCUAACAUUUUCUCUACUGCCGCCGUCUAGCACGGAUCCAUCGAAGUUAACCUUGAGAAAGUUCGGAAGUGGAGGAUCUCAGGUGAAGAACACUGUACCAGGCGCUACUUGAGCAAAAUGGGGCCCCAGGUGUUCCGAGCUAUCAAAGGUCCAUGUGCUAAGCGUACAUGAAUGAUCUUUGCUGCUUGUACCCGAGCGCGCUACACGACGAACCUCGAGGAUGGAUUGCUCUCACUAAAAGUCCGAGCGUUCUUUGCCAACCAAAUCUUGUAAGCUGUGCAAGUCAUCCAAUGGCUACCUGAUGCAUCUGGAGGGUGCCGGACCACCGAUGAACCACCUGUGGGAAAGACCCCAUCUGGCUCCAGGCAUCCUGCGGAAUCUCGACGAGCCUUCAAACUCUCCUAGCCCAUACACACUGUAAUAGAACAUGAUCCACCGUCUCGUCCAUU
rnacentral:lncRNA from 1 species